rnacentral:rRNA from 1 species
AUUGAACGCUGGCGGCAUGCCUAACACAUGCAAGUCGAACGAGUGGCGGACGGGUGAGUAAUAUCUAGGAAACUGCCUGAUAGCGGGGGAUAACUACUCGAAACGGUAGCUAAUACCGCAUACCAUUGGAGGUGCCCAGAUGGGAUUAGCUAGUCGGUGGGGUAAAGGCUCACCAAGGCCACGAUCCCUUGCGGGUUUGAGAGGGAGUCCAGCCACACUGGGACUGGGACACGGCCCAGACUCCUACGGGAGGCAGCAGUGGGGAAUUGUUGACAAUGGGGGAAACGCUGAUCGAGCCAAGCCGCGUGGAUGAAGAAGGGCUUCGGGUUGUAAAGGUCUUUUGGCAGAGAAGCGGUAUCUGCAGAAAAAGCAACGGCUAACUACGUGCCAGCAGCCGCGGUAAUUC